GAGUGGAACUCACGUGACAGACGCUUAUGAACCCCGUCAGGUCCGGGAGGAAGCAGCGGUAAAUAAGGCAGUCUGUGUCUUGAGCAAUUCUACUUCUU
rnacentral:SRP_RNA from 1 species